UGGGGAAUUUUGGACAAUGGGCGAAAGCUGAUCCAGCAAUGCCGCGUGUGUGAAGAAGGCCUUCGGGUUGUAAAGCACUUUUGUCCGGAAAGAAAUCCUUGGCUCUAAUACAGUCGGGGGAUGACGGUACCGGAAGAAUAAGCACCGGCUAACUACGUGCCAGCAGCCGCGGUAAUACGUAGGGUGCAAGCGUUAAUCGGAAUUACUGGGCGUAAAGCGUGCGCAGGCGGUUUGCUAAGACCGAUGUGAAAUCCCCGGGCUCAACCUGGGAACUGCAUUGGUGACUGGCAGGCUAGAGUAUGGCAGAGGGGGGUAGAAUUCCACGUGUAGCAGUGAAAUGCGUAGAGAUGUGGAGGAAUACCGAUGGCGAAGGCAGCCCCCUGGGCCAAUACUGACGCUCAUGCACGAAAGCGUGGGGAGCAAAACAGGAUUAGAUACCCUGGUAGUCCACGCCCUAAAACGAUGUCAACUAGUUGUUGGGGAUUCAUUUCCUUAGUAACGUAGCUAACGCGUGAAGUUGACCGCCUGGGGAGUACGGUCGCAAGAUUAAAACUUAAAUGAAUUGACGGGGUCAUAGCUGUUUCCU
rnacentral:rRNA from 1 species